GCGAUUCGCCCUUCGGGGUGCCAGGCGCGAAAACUUUACAAUGCUGGAAACAGCGAUAAGGGGACCUCGAGUGCCAGGUUACAAAUCUGGCUGUCGUGAUGCCUAAAAAGCAUUGCAUAGCAAGGGCCGGGCAAGACCGGUGCCAGCCGCCGCGGUAACACCGGCGGCUCGAGUGGUAACCGUUAUUAUUGGGUCUAAAGGGUCUGUAGCCGGCCGGAUAAGUCUCUUGGGAAAUCCAGCAGCUCAACUGUUGGGCUUUCAGGAGAUACUGUCUGGCUCGAGGCCGGGAGAGGUGAGAGGUACUUCAGGGGUAGGGGUGAAAUCUUGUAAUCCUUGAAGGACCACCAGUGGCGAAGGCGUCUCACCAGAACGGACCUGACGGCAAGGGACGAAAGCUAGGGGCACGAACCGGAUUAGAUACCCGGGUAGUCCUAGCCGUAAACGAUACUCGCUAGGUGUCAGCCACGGUGCGACCGUGGUUGGUGCCGUAGGGAAGCCGUGAAGCGAGCCACCUGGGAAGUACGGCCGCAAGGCUGAAACUUAAAGGAAUUGGCGGGGGAGCAC
rnacentral:rRNA from 1 species